AUGCUCACUUUGGUAGCACAUGUACUAAAACUGGAAUGAACAGAGAACAUUAGCAUGACCCCUGCACAAAGAUGACAGGAAAACUUGUAAAAUGUUCUGUAUUUUU